AUGAGGUGGCCAAAGUACUGGAGUUUCAGCUUUAGCAUCAUUCUUUCCAAAGAACACCCAGGGCUGAUCUCCUUCAGAAUGGACUGGUUGGAUUUUCUUGCAGUUCAAGGGACUCUCAGGAGUCUUCUCCAACACCACAGUUCAAACGCAUCAAUUCUUCAGUGCUCAGCUUUCUUCACAGUCCAACUCUCACAUCCAUACAUGACCACUGGAAAAACCAGGAGACCUAUUGAAAAUUCUGGAAAAAAGAAACAGUCAGAUAAAGGACAUGACCUUACUCGAUUGUGGACACUUUUAUUGAAAUCCAUAAACAUUGUGACUGCCUGCUUGGAAUUGGAUUUAUUUCACUUUCGUUGGUAUGAAUGGCAGUUGUGAAGGGUAUUUGUUUGUGGGAUUUUCUAAUAUUCUUAAAGAAGGCUUUCAAUAGCAUUGCACUAUCUAUAUUGAUUUGCUUUUCCACAGAUAUAUCAAAACUUUCACUGAAGUAGUUAAAAUAAUAUUUACAGUAUUGUUUUACUAUGUAUGAUAAUGUAUCAUGCUCAUGCUCGGUCACUCAGUCAUGUCUGACUCUUUAUGACCCCUUGAACUGUAGUAGCCCACCAGGCUCCUCUGUCCAGGGAAUUUUCCAGGCAAGAAUACUGGAGUGGGUUGCCACUUCCUCCUCCAAGAUCUUCCCAACCCAGGGAUCGAACCUGCAUUUUCUGCGUCUCCUGCAUUGGCAGCCACUGAGCUGGGAAGCCCCUUAUGAUAAUGUAAACAUUAAAACACUAUGAGCUUAGGAAAUUAACAUAUACAAGUCACAUAAAAUAUCUUCAAAUAAAAACACUUUUUCAUUUUCCUAAUAUUGAAAUACGACUAUAUCAUUUCCUUCUUAAACUCAUCUUCCAUUGAAGGUAUGUCCUAGAACUUCGGACAGACAUGUUUUCCUGGCCUCCAGGAUAUCCUGCCAUCUAUUAUCAAUUAUUGGUAAGCAAAUAUUUGAAAACAUUAUGGGGAUUUCCAUUUAAAAUUAUUCAAUGUUGAAUUACCUUAUAAUGGCACCAGCUCCCAAAUCACUGCAGAUGGUGACUGCAGCCAUAAAAUUAAAAGACACUUACUCCUUGGGAGAAAAGUUAUGACCAACCUAGAUAGUAUAUUCAAAAGCAGAGGCAUUGCUUGCCGACUAAGGUCCGUCUAGUCAAGGCUAUGGAUUUUCCUGUGGUCAUGUAUGGAUGUAAGAGUUGGACUGUGAAGAAGGCUGAGCACGGAAGAAUUGAUGCGUUUGAACUGUGGUAUUGGAGAAGACUCUUGAGAGUCCCUUGGACUGCAAGGAAAUCCAACCAGUCCAUUCUGAAGGAGAUCAACCCUGGGAUUUCUUUGGAAGGAAUGAUGCUAAAGCUGAAGCUCCAGUACUUUGGCCACCUCAUGAGAACUCUUGCCUGGAAAAUCCAAUGGAUGGAGGAGCCUGGUAGGCUACAGUCCAUGGGGUCGCUAAUGGUCAGACAUGACUGAGCGACUUCACUUUCACUUUUCACUUUCCUGGGUUGGAGAAGGAAAUGGCAACCCACUCCAGUGUUCUUGCCUGGAGAAUCCCAGGGAUGGGGGAGCCUGGUGGGCUGCCGUCUGUGGGGUCGCACAGAGUCGGACACGACUGAAGUGACUUAGCAGCAGCAGCAGCUCAUCUUUAAUAAAGUAAAAGAAAAAGUGAGGAAGAAGGGAGCAGAACAGGACACAGGCCAUGUCAAGGGGGAAAGGUAAAGGGAGGGGGCAGGUAUUUGAGGACUGGGGUUUGGUUUGAUGUUUACAAAGGGCCAUAGGUAAGGGAUAUGCCAAUUCUAUAUGCCAGUGUUUAGUAUUAAAAAAAUUUUUUCCCCCCUGUUUUUUUUUUGUUUUUUUUUUUUUUUUUUUUUUUGCCUUUUAAGGCAUUUUUUUUUUCUCUCUCUGUCCCCUCCCUAUAAAAUUUUAGUACCAAAGAUAUACUGAGUAUCUGCUUUUUUAAAAACUAUAUAUACAUCUGUUUUGGGGGGCUUCCUUGGUGGCUCAGAGGUUAAAGCGUCUGCCCGCAAUGCGGGAGACCUGGGUUUGAUCCCUGGGUCGGGAAGAUCCCCUGGAGAAGGAAAUGGCAACCCACUCCAGUACUCUUGCCUGGAGAAUCCCGUGGAGCUUGGUGGGCUACAGUCCACAGGGUCGCAAAGAGUCGGACACAACUGAGUGACUUCGCCUCACCUCACAUCUGUUUUUUAAACUUAAAAAGAGUAAGUUUCUUUUUUCUUUUUCCCUCCCACUUAUGUUUACUCCAUUGGAAGUGAUAUUGAGAAUCCAUGCUCUAUGUAAUCUUCCUGUGAGAAUUCAUGUUCUAUGUGCUUAAGAAAUAAUUUGUGGACUCAGUGUGGCUCAACAGAAGUUAUGUAUAUCAUAAAGAGCUGGAAAAAGUCAGGGCUAUUUGAAUGGAAAAGAUGAGAACCACUGUCCUUCAUUUUGGGUUUAUAUGGAGGAGGAAACCCCAAGGUUCUUUUGGCAGAAACUACCAUGUACCACAUUGUCAGCAUGAGGCCAGCUUUGAGUUCAUCUCGUGUCCAUGGAGUGGGACUUUCCUUCUACCCAUGAGAUUCACUCACUGAUUCUGCUAAUGCUCACUCAUCAGCUUCUAUGUUGGAUGUUAAGGUGGUGUUUAUCACCUGGCUGUGGAAAGUAUCCAUAAAAUCAAAAGUGUGUCAUGUACUAGUACCACUAAUACAAUUUUUCAAAUAAUUCUACUCAUUAGACUUUUGCUGGUCUCUUUUAAUAUAAUCAAGGUCAAUUACUGUAUCUUUUUAGUAGUCUUACAUAGCAGUUUAAAAACUUAGAUUCUCAAUUUGAGGAUUCCUUCAUGAGUGAGAGGCAUGCUUCAGAGUCUGUGUCUAUUAGUUGAAUUGUAACCUCACCCCAACCCCCAAAGAGGUACGUUAGAAGCCUAACCCUCAUUACUUGAAAUAGCACCAUUAUUUGGUGACAAGGUCUUUACAGUUCAAGUGAGGUCAUUGGAGUGAACCCUAUCCAAUCCAGUAUAACCAAUUUCCUUAUAAAAAUCUGGGCAGUCUACUAGUCUUCUUGGACUGCUGAAAGAAAAUACUAGAGACUGAGUGGUUUAAAAUACAGAAAUUUAUUUCCUCACAAUUCUGUAAUCUAGAAGUUCAAGACCAGGGGGGCAUCAGAGUAGGU
rnacentral:lncRNA from 1 species